CCUACGGGGGGCAGCAGUGAGGAAUAUUGGUCAAUGGACGAGAGUCUGAACCAGCCAAGUCGCGUGAAGGAUGACUGCCCUAUGGGUUGUAAACUUCUUUUAUCUGGGAAUAAAAUGUUCCACGUGUGGGAUUUUGUAUGUACCAUAUGAAUAAGGAUCGGCUAACUCCGUGCCAGCAGCCGCGGUAAUACGGAGGAUCCGAGCGUUAUCCGGAUUUAUUGGGUUUAAAGGGAGCGUAGGUGGAUUGUUAAGUCAGGUGUGAAAGUUUGCGGCUCAACCGUAAAAUGGCAGUUGAAACUGGGAGUCGUGAGUACGGUAGAGGUGGGCGGAAUUCGGGGUGUAGCGGUGAAAUGCUUAGAUAUCACGAAGAACUCCGAUUGCGAAGGCAGCACACUGGACUGCAACUGACACUGAGGCUCGAAAGUGUGGGUAUCAAACAGGAUUAGAUACCCUAGUAGUC
rnacentral:rRNA from 1 species